CCGGCGGUAACCCAUUCCCGUGCUCAAUCUCAACGGGUAUUUCGAACGUAGAGCCACUGCCCGAAGCCCCAAGGAGUGGUGCUGUCUCCACCUGUGUGCAGCAGGUAGCUGCACAGCUGGCAAGUGACGUCUCUUUGGAGAUGCCUGAAGAGGCGGUGGAAGACCCAUGCACUCAAGACUCCAUAAAAGAAAUGGAGAAGGAUGCCGCUGUCGGCCUAAUCAUGAUGGCUGGGAAUCCUGAGGUGUCCAAGCUGCGUGACCUGCAGAUGGCCAAAAUGCAGCAGGUCAUUCUUGAUCUGCAAGCAGACAAACAACGUCUCGAAAGGCAGGUUUGCCACCUGCAAGCCAGGCAGCUUAGUCUCAACACUAUCCAGGAGCCUAAGAACUGUUUAUA